CCCAGACCCACAAGCGUGACCCCAGCCGGCUCAUCACCCAGAUCCUUGGAGCAGAUCGCUCUGGACUCAUUGCGACCAGCUGGGAGAAAUGGAAUGCCCCAACCAGAUCCUCCAGAUCUUCAAGAUAGUCAUCCCAUUUUACAGCCAUGUAGCCUUCCCUUUGCCUUUUGGAAGAAGAAUUUUGCUAAGAUGGCACCAGAUCAGUCCUGAUGUUGAUGACUGCUUUCCCAGUGGAAAAUACCUGGCUGUCUUGUCUGCAGGGAGGAACCGAGGGCUGGGAACAAAGAAAACACUGUGGACUUUUGAAGCCAUUAAGAGUUGCUCCAGGGGGGCAGAGUCAAGAUGGCGGCUUAGAAGGAGCAGAAGUUCAGACCUCUGAAAACCCUUCCUUACCGAUCACAAACUGAUUGCUCCUAGGAGACUGAAAAACAAACUUAAUAACAAGACAGAGCCAAAGUACCCUCCUGCUGGACUUAAUUCAAAAGGUAUGCCCCCCUCCCCCCGAAAAGUUGGAAUCCAAGAACACUCGGGUUUAAGGGGAAGACAGAAGGAAGGUCCCAGGACCCAUCCCCCCUCCCACCCAGAGUGCUGAGAUUCCAGCUGCAGUGGGAACUUCUGGGCGGGCAAAGGUGCUGGUCUCAAGGGCAAAGCUUGAGAGCAGGACUGUGCCAAGUUCAGAGCGUCCAACACAGAAGCCGGAGAAGGAGCUAGAGAGGGAACAUAGAUCUGGCAGCCUGGCCAGAGCUUUGGAGAUCCUCCAUAUUUGCUCCAGCCUUCCAGGAAGUUUAGGACUGAGAGCACACUCAGCCCAACUAAGUUGAACUUAAUCCCAUCAAAAGUCUUCAGCACUCAGGGAAGCCCAGGCUCCACAUCUAUCCUCAUUGACUGCUGGACUUUUUAAUCCAAUCAAAAGCCUCCAGAGGACAGGGAAGCUCAAACCUCAACAACCUUCCCACAGAGACUACACCAAGAGAUCUUCUGUUAAAGCUCCAAGAGGGGAGACUGAUAGAAGCCCACCAAAAAUAAAAAAAAAAUGAGAGGAGAAAGAGCACAGGCAAAUACGGGAAGUAAAGAAGGGGUGAAUUUGAGCAAACAACAGAAAAAAGAAGAAGAAAACUACAAUAGAUAGCUUCUACUCAGCAAAUGGAACAGAGGGGGAGAGAUCAGCAAAUGAUAAAUCAGAAAUCCCAGCAAAUUGGAUACAGGCUGUGGAAGAACUCAAAAAUUAAGAUAAGUCAUCUGGAAACAGAGGCACUUGAACUAAAAUGAGAAAAUAGUGUCUUGAAAGCCAAAAUCAACCAGCUGGAAAAGGAGAUGAAAGAUGAUGUAGAGGAUGAAAGACGAUAUUCAAAGAAAAUCAGACCAGAAGGAAAAGGAUAACCAAAAAGCCAGAGAUGAAAUCCAAUCGUUAAGAACCAGAAUACAACAACUGGAUUUAAGUGACCUCACAAGGUAGCAGGACACUAUAAAACAAAACAAAAAGAAUGAAAGAAUUGAGGAAAAUGUGAAGCAUCUCAUUCACAAAACAGACGAUUUAGAAAAUCUUUCGAGAAGAGACAAUUUAAGAAUCAUUGGACUACCAGAAGACCAUGACAAAAGAAAAAAGCUGGACAUAAUACUACAGGAUAUUAUUCAGGAAAACUGUCCUGAUAUCCUAGAAGAGGGGAAAGUGGAGAUUGAAAGAAUCCACAGAUCACCUCCUGUAUUUAAUCCCCAACUGACAACAACCAGAAAUGUUAUAGCCAAAUUAAAAAAAAAAACUAUCAGACCAAAGAAAAGAUAUUACAAGCUGCCAAGAAAAAGCCAUUCAGAUACCAUAGAAACAUGGUGAGGAUAACAUAAUAUCUGGCUGCAUCCACACUGAAGCACAAAAGGCAUGGAAUGAUAUUCUGGAAAGCAAGGGAACUAGGUCUACAACCAAGAAUCAAAUACCCAUCAAAACUGACUAUAUUCUUAUAGGGGAAAGUAUGGUCAUUCAACACAACAGAAGAAUUCCAAGCAUUCGUAAAGAAAAGACCAGACCUGAACAGAAAAUUUGAUGCCCAAGCACAGAACUCAAGAGAAUCAUCAAAAGGUAAUUAAAAAAGAGGGGAAAAAGAAAAACAAAACAACAACAAAUUUUUUUAAGAGACUCAAAUUAAAAUGAUAUGUAUCCCUAUAAGAAAAGAGGUCAUUGGUAACUCUUAAACUGUUGCUAUCACCUGGGCAGCUAGAAGAAUUAUACUUAGAGGGAAUAAACUGUAUAGGAUAAAAGAACAAGACAUAAAUAGGUAUAUAGAUAUAUGCAUGCAUAAAUACAUAUACAUGUGUGUAUAUAUAUAUACACAUAUAUAUUAUAUAUAUUAUAUAUAUACAUAUUUUAGCUCUGGUUGUAUAUAUAUAUAUAUAACAUAUAUAUACAUAUACACAUAUACACUAUAUACAUAUAUACACAUUAUAUACAUAUAUAUACAUACAUAUAUAUACACACACAACCAAAGCAAAAAAAAAAAAGGUUAAUACUAAAAGAAAUGGGAAAAGAAACAAAUGGGGGUAAAUGUCACAAAGAAGCUAAUGGCAGGAGGGGGGAGAACAGCGAUACACUGGAAGGGUAAAGAGGUUGGAGAUAGGAAAUAUUCAACUCUUACGUACUUUGAAACUGACCCAAAGAGGGAAGAACAAUCCAAUCCAUUGGGAUAGAGAAUAGAUUUGCGCCCCAUAGGGGAGUAAAAGGGUAAAAAACGGACUGGUGGGGAGGGAAGCAGUACAAAGGAGGGAGAGGGUGGGGGGAAAGUUUAAAAGGACUACAGGGGAAAAUAAGGGAGGGAAUAAGAAGGGAAGGGGGUAGAAAGGGAAGUAAAAUAAGGGUGGGAACUAGUGGGACUGACUAUAAACAAACAUUGGUGUAGAAGGAAAUAGUGAAAGAAGAAAAGGCAAGACCAGGAGUAGAAAUCAAAAUGCUGGGAAAUAAACAGCUAUUAAUCAUAACUCUGAAUGUAAAUGGAAUGAACUCACCCAUAAAACGCAAGCAAAUAGCAGAGUGCAUUAGAAUCCAAAACCCUACCAUAUGCUGUCUGCAAGAAACACACAUGAGGAAGGUAUAUACGCAUAGGGUGAAAAGUAAGAGGAUGGAACCAAAUCUAUUGGGCAUCAACUGAUAAAAAGAAGGCAGGAGUAGCAAUCAUGAUAUCUGACAAAGCCAAAGUAAAAAUAAAUCUAGUUAAAAGAGAUAGGGAAAGUAAUUACAUCCUGAUAAAAGGCAGUAUAGACAAUGAGGAUAUAUCUGUACUCAAUAUGUAUGCACCAAAUGGCAUAGCAUCCAAAUUUCUAAAGGAGAAACUAGAGGAGCUCAACAAUGAAAUAGAUAGAAAAACUAUACUAGUGGGAGAUCUGAACCUUCCUCUAUCCGAACUAGAUAAAUCAAAAAAUAAGAAAGAGGUGAGAGAAGCGAAUGAAAUCUUAGAAAAAUUAGAGUUAGUAGACUUAUGGAGAAAAAUAAAUAGGGUCAAAAAGGAAUACACCUUUUCAGCAGCACAUGGCACAUUCACAAAAAUUGACCAUGUAUUAGGGCAUAAAAUCAUUGAAAACAAGUGCAAAAGAAUAGAAGUAAUAAAUGCAACCUUCUCAGACCAUAAUGCAAUAAAAAUAAUAAUUAGUAAAGGUACAUGGAGAGAUAAAUCAAAAAUUCAUUGGAAGUUAAACAAUAUGAUUCUCCAAAACCAGCUAGUUAAAGAACAAAUUGUAGAAACAAUAACUUCAUUGAAGAAAAUUAAAAUGGUGAGACAUCCUUUCAAAACCAAUGGGAUGCAGCCAAAGUAGUACUCAGGGGAAAAUUUAUAUCCUUGAGUUCAUAUAUAAACAAAUUAAGAAGGGCAGAGGUCAAUGAAUUCGACAUGCAAAUUAAAAAAACUAGAAAUUGAACAAAUUAAAAAUCCUCAGAUGAAGACUAAAUUAGAGAUCCUAAAAAUCAAAGGAUAAAUUAAUAAAAUUGAAAGUCAAAGAACUAUUGAUUUAAUAAAUAAGACUAGAAGCUGGUACUUUGAAAAAACAAAUAAAAUAGACAAUACUAAUCAGUCUAAUUAAGAAAAGGAAAGAAAUAAACCAAAUUGACAGUAUCCAAGAUGAAAAGGGAGACCUCACCUCUAAUGAAGAGGAAAUCAAGACAAUCAUUAAAAACUACUAUGCCCAAUUAUAUGGAAAUCUAAGUGAUAUGGAUGAAUACUUACAAAAAUAUAAAUUGCCUAGACUAAAAGAAGAAGAAAUAAAUUACCCAAACAACCCUCUAUCAGAAAAAGAAAUUGAACAAGACAUCAAAGAACUCCCUAAGAAAAAAAUCCCCAGUUCCAGAUGGAUUCACAAAUGAAUUCUAUCAAACAUUCAAAGAACAACUAGGGGUUCUACCAAAUUCUUUUUACGACACAAACAUGGUACUGAUCCCAAAGCCAGGCAGGUUAAAAACAGAGAAAGAAAAUUAUAGAUCAAUCUCACUAAUGAAUAGAGAUGCAAAAAUCUUAAAUAGGAUACUAGCAAAAAGACUCCAGCAAGUCAUCACAAGGGUUAUCCACUAUGAUCAGGUAGGAUUCAUACCAGGAAUGCAAGGAUGGUUCAAUAUUAGGAAAACCGUCCACAUAGUUGACCAUACUAAUAAGCAAACUGACAAAAAUCACAUGGUUAUCUUAAUAGAUGCAGAAAAAGCAUUUGAUAAAAUAUAACAACUAUUCCUAUUGAAAACACUAGAAAGUAUAGGAAUAGAAGGGCAUUUCCUAAGAAUAAUAAACAGUAUAUAUCUAAAACCAUCAGCAAACAUAAUCUGCAAUGGGGAUAAACUCAAAGCCUUCCCAAAUAAGAUCAGGAGUCAAACAAGAAUGCCCAUCAUCACCUUUAUUAUUUAAUAUUGUACUAGAAACACUAGCAGUAGCAAUUAGAGAAGAAAAAGAAAUUGAAGGUAUUAAAAUUGGCAAUGAGGAGACCAAGCUGUCACUCUUUGAGGAUGAUAUUAUGAUUUACUUAAAGAAUCCUAGAGAAUCAACCAAAAAGCUAGUUGAAAUAAUCAACAACUUUAGCAAAAUUGCAGGAUACAAAAUAAACCCAUAUAAGUCAUCAGCUUUUCUAUAUAUCUCCAACCCAGUUAAGCAGCAAGAAUUAGAAAGAGAAAUUCCAUUUAAAGUCACCCGAGACAAUAUAAAAUACUUAGGAAUCUAUUUGCUGAGACAAACACAGGAACUAUACGAACACAACUACAAAACACUCUCCACACAAUUAAAACUAGAUCUAAACAAUUGGAAAAACAUUGAUUGUUCAUGGGUGGGACGAGCUAACAUAAUAAAAAUGACCAUCCUACCCAAACUUAUCUAUUUAGUGCCAUACCCAUUGAACUUCCAAAAAACUUUUUUUACUGAAUUAGAGAAAACCACAACAAAGUUCAUUUGGAAGAACAAAGGAUCAAGGAUAUCCAGGGAAAUAAUGAAAAAAAAAUACAAAGGAAGGUGGCCUUGCAGUCCUAGAUCUCAAACUAUAUUACAAAGCAGUGGUCAUCAAAACAAUUUGGUUCUGGCUAAGAGACAGAAAGGAGGAUCAGUGGAAUAGACUUGGAGUAAAUGACCUCAGCAAGAUAGUCUAUGACAAACCCAAAGACCCCAGCUUUUGGGACAAAAAUCCAUUAUUUGAUAAAAAUUGCUGGGAAAAUUGGAAGACAGUGUGGGAGAGAUUAGAUUUGGAUCAAAACACUUCACACCCUACACCAAGAUAAACUCAGAAUGGGUGAAUGACUUGAAUAUAAAGAAGGAAACUAUAAGUAAAUUAUGUGAACACAGAAUAGUAUACAUGUCAGACCAUUGGGAAGGGAAAGAUUUUAAAACCAAGCAAGACUUAGAGUCACAAAAUGCAAAAUAAAUAAUUUGGAAUACAUCAAAUUAAAAAGUUUUUGUACAAACAAAACCAAUGUAACUAAAAUUAGAAGGGAAGCAACAAAUUGGGAAACAAUCUUCAUAACAAAAAACUCUGACAGAGGCCUAAUUUCUCAAAUUUAUAAAGAGCUAAACCAGUUGUACAAAAAAUCAAGCCAUUCUUCAAUUGAAAAAUGGGUAAGGGACAUGAAUGGGCAAUUUUCAGUUAAAGAAAUAAAAACUAUUAAUAAGCACAUGAAAAAAGUGUUUUAAAUCUCUUCUAAUCAGAGAUAUGCAAAUCAAAACAACUCUGAGGUAUCACCUCACACCUAGCAGAUUGGCCAACAUGACAGCAAAGGAAAAUAAUGAAUGCUGGACGGGAUGUGGCAAAGUUGGGACAUUAAUUCAUUGCUGGUGGAGUUGUGAAUUGAUCCAACCAUUCUGGAAGGCAAUUUGGAACUAUGCACAAAGGACAAUAAAAGAAUGUCUACCCUUUGGUCCAGCCAUAGCACUGCUGGGUUUGUACCCCAAAGAGAUAAUAAGGAAAAAGACUUGUACAAGAAUAUUCAUAGCUGCACUCUUUGUGGUGGCCAAAAAUGGGAAAAUGAGGGGAUGCCCUUCAAUUGGGGAAUGACUGAACAAAUUGUGGUAUAUGUUGGCCAUGGAAUACUAUAAAAGGAAUAAUAAAGUGGAGGAAUUCCAUGGAGACUGGAACAACCUCCAGGAAGUGAUGCAGAGCGAAAGGAGCAGAACCAGGAGAACAUUGUACACAGAGACUGAUACACUGUGGUACAAUAGAAAGUAAUGGACUUCUCCAUCAAAGGCAAUGCAAUGUCCCUGAACAAUCUGCAGGGAUCUAUGAGAAAAAACACUAUCCUCAAGCAGAGGACAAACUGUGAGAGUAAAAACACCGAGGAAGGGCAACUGCUUGACUACAGAGGUUGAGGGGACAUGAUCAAGGAGAGAUGCUAAAUGAGCGCCCUAAUGCAAAUACCAACAACAAGGAAAUGGGUUCAGAGCAAAGACACAGGUGAUACCCAGUGGAAUCGCGCAUCAGCUAG